AAGGAGAAGGAGGAGGAAGGGGAGGAGAAAGACGAAGAGAUGGAGGAAAACUGAAAAUGGUUGCCUUGCUCUUCCUGCUUCCACCUCAAACCCUAAAAUGACAGUUCUACAGAUGAGAACAUACCAGGGAAGCUGAGAGAAUCCACAAACCCUUUGAAGGAAGUGGCUUGCUGCUGCAGAGUGGGACAGCAGAGGAACUGUGUUGAUCCCAAGAGUGCUUCCUAAGAAUCCUCCUCCAUGUUAACUUUCAUCCUAGAGUCUGCUUCACUGAUUGCCCAACUUGCAACAGAAAGUAGUAAUAUCUCUGCUUUUGUAUUGUUUCAUGCACUACUCAUCUAAGGUUCUAGGACAGUGUUCUCUCUCGUUUCCAAUAAUAAAAUUCUUCUGAUUGUCCUGGGGAGUAUUUUUGAUGUGCAUUUUAUAGUCUCUCAUGCAGCAAAAACCCAAGUGAAAUAGCUAUCUACACUUUGUAGAUUCAUUAAAUGCAUUGGAUACACAACGAAA